CGCGGGAAAUCUUACCGGGUCCGGACACACUGAGGAUUGACAGAUAUACACACAUACGUGUGUUCAAAGAUGCUAGUUCUUUCAUGAUUAUGUGAUAGGUGGUGCAUGGCCGUUCUUAGUUCGUGGAGUGAUCUGUCUGCUUAAUUGCGUUUCAUAUAUACGUACAUAUUCAUAUGUACAUUUGAAAGCAACGAACGUGACCGUAUUCUUUUGUUAUAUAUAUACGCGAGUAUAUAAUCCAAAAUGUGAGACCGCUGUUUCUUUCUUUUAAACCAGAGGAAGGUUAUGGCAAUAACAGGUCUGUGAUGCCCUUCGAUGUUCCGGGCUGCACACGUGCUACAAUGAUUUUAUCAUUAUUUUUUGUAUCCUACUCUGAGAAUAGUUGUGAGUCAGAAGUUUGAUCUUUCUUGUAUUCUUCAUAAGUAUUAUAUAUUUUUGUAUG
rnacentral:rRNA from 1 species